AGUGAACGCUGGCGGUAGGCCUAACACAUGCAAGUCGAACGGCAGCACAGUAAGAGCUUGCUCUUACGGGUGGCGAGUGGUGGACGGGUGAGGAAUACAUCGGAAUCUACUUUUUCGUGGGGGAUAACGUAGGGAAACUUACGCUAAUACCGCAUACGACCUACGGGUGAAAGCAGGGGAUCUUCGGACCUUGCGCGAUUGAAUGAGCCGAUGUCGGAUUAGCUAGUUGGCGGGGUAAAGGCCCACCAAGGCGACGAUCCGUAGCUGGUCUGAGAGGAUGAUCAGCCACACUGGAACUGAGACACGGUCCAGACUCCUACGGGAGGCAGCAGUGGGGAAUAUUGGACAAUGGGCGCAAGCCUGAUCCACCCAUACCGCGUGGGUGAAGAAGGCCUUCGGGUUGUAAAGCCCUUUUGUUGGGAAAGAAAAGCAGCAGGUUAAUACCCCGCUGUUCUGACGGUACCCAAAGAAUAAGCACCGGCUAACUUCGUG
rnacentral:rRNA from 1 species